UACAGGGGGUGCAAACGUUGCUCGGAAUCAUUGGGCGUAAAGCGCACGUAGGCGGUUCGUUAUGUCGGAUGUGAAAGCCCUUGGCUUAACCGAGGAAGUGCAUCCGAAACUGGCGAGCUAGAGUACGAAAGAGGAUCGCGGAAUUCCCGGUGUAGAGGUGAAAUUCGUAGAUAUCGGGAGGAACACCAGUGGCGAAGGCGGCGAUCUGGGUAGAUACUGACGCUGAGGUGCGAAAGCGUGGGGAGCAAACAGG
rnacentral:rRNA from 1 species